AUGAAGGCCCAGGGCCUUCAUCCACCUUCACCACCCACACGAAGCAGCCACAGCCAGGCUUGGACUCCCCCACGCCCCCAAGACCACAGAGAAACCACCAGAAGAAAGGGGAACUUCAAGAAGUGUCCCAUUCCACCCAGUUUCGGUCCAGUUCUUAGUCUCAGGAGUGGGGGUGGGGUGACGACACACCCCAGAGACAAGGGUGGCGACUCCCAGGAGGCCAAGACAGCUGAGCGGGGCGGCCAGGGCAGGGCGGCCACAGCUGGGAAGCACCACCAUGCAGUACGUGGCCAGAAGGAGGCAGGGCGGCGGGGGCGUCCCAGGGACUGGCCGGUGAGGACCCUUCCUCGUCUAGCAUCUCACAAUCUGCAGAACCCGGGGAGGCAGCAGAGAGCCAGCACCACAACCCCAUCCGUCUUCCCCUUGGCUCCCAGCUGUGGAGUCAGUUCUGGCUCCACGGCGUCCCUGGGCUGCCUGGUCAGCGGCUUCUUCCCCGAGCCGGUCACCGUGUCAUGGAAGUCCGGAGCGGCCGAGUUGACCAGCGGCGUGCGCACCUUCCCAUCUGUUCUGAAGUCAGGGCUCUACUCGCUCAACAGCAUGGUGACGGUGCCCUCCGGCACCUGGCCCAGCCAGACCGUCACCUGCCAUGUAGUCCACCCGGCCAGCAACACCAAGGUGGACAAGACCAUUGAGCCUAGAAGAGAAAACCUUCCUUCCAAAUGUCCCAAGUGCCCAGAAAAUUGUGUAGGAGGACCAUCUGUCUUCAUAUUUCCCCCGAAGCCCCAGGACACCCUCACGAUUUCUCUGACCCCCAAGGUCACCUGUGUGGUAGUAGACCUGAGCCAGGAGAACCCUAAGGCCGAUAUCACCUGGUUUAUGGACAAUGUGGAGGUACACGAGGCCCAGACCCAGCGCCCAGAACAGCAGUACAACAGCACACUCCGAGUGGUCAGCGUCCUGCCCAUCCGGCACCAGGACUGGCUGUCGGGAAAGGAGUUCAAGUGCAAAGUCAAGAACAACGACCUCCCAGUCCCCAUUGAGAAAACCAUCUCCAAAGUCAAAGGGCAACCCCGAGAGCCACAAGUGUACGUCUUGCCACCACCAAAGGAGCAGAUGACCAACACAAAGCUCAGCCUGACCUGCUUGGCACAAGGAUUCUACCCUGAGGAUAUCUUUGUGGAAUGGAGGAGCAAUGGCCGGCCAGAGGAGAGCUACAAGAGCACCACACCCGUCUUGGACUCCGAUGGGUCCUACUUCCUCUACAGCAAGCUGCCAGUAGACAAGAGCAGGUGGGAGAAAGGAGACAGCUUCACCUGCUCCGUGAUGCACGAGGCCCUGCACAACCACUUCACGCAGAAGACCAUCUCCCGGUCUCCGGGUAAAUGAGAGCUGGGCCUCAGCAGCCCGCGCCUCCCUCUGGGCCUCGGUCCACAGGAGGCUGGCACCCGCCACCCCUCCCCAUGUAAAUAAAGCACCCAGUGAAGCCUGGGACCUGCGAGGA